AUUGAACGCUGGCGGCAUGCCUUACACAUGCAAGUCGAACGGUAACGGGCCUUCGGGUGCCGACGAGUGGCGAACGGGUGAGUAAUACAUCGGAACGUGCCCGAUCGUGGGGGAUAACGAGGCGAAAGCUUUGCUAAUACCGCAUACGAUCUACGGAUGAAAGCCGGGGACCGCAAGGCCUUGCGCGGACGGAGCGGCCGAUGGCAGAUUAGGUAGUUGGUGGGAUAAAAGCUUACCAAGCCGACGAACUGUAGCUGGUCUGAGAGGAUGAUCAGCCACACUGGGACUGAGACACGGCCCAGACUCCUACGGGAGGCAGCAGUGGGGAAUUUUGGACAAUGGGCGCAAGCCUGAUCCAGCCAUGCCGCGUGCAGGAUGAAGGCCUUCGGGUUGUAAACUGCUUUUGUACGGAACGAAAAGCCUUCUUUUAAUACAGGAGGGUCAUGACGGUACCGUAAGAAUAAGCACCGGCUAACUACGUG
rnacentral:rRNA from 1 species